rnacentral:rRNA from 1 species
UACGUAGGUGGCAAGCGUUUUCCGGAAUUAUUGGGCGUAAAGGGCGCGUAGGCGGCGUCUUAAGUCAGAUGUGAAAACCCCGGGCUUAACCUGGGAAGUGCAUCUGAAACUGGGAUGCUAGAGUGCAGGAGAGGUAAGUGGAAUUCCUAGUGUAGCGGUGAAAUGCGUAGAUAUUAGGAGGAACACCAGUGGCGAAGGCGACUUACUGGACUGUAACUGACGCUGAGGCGCGAAAGCGUGGGGAGCAAACAGG